rnacentral:rRNA from 1 species
GCUUGUCUCAAAGAUUAAGCCAUGCAUGUCUAAGUAUAAGCAAACUUGUACUGUGAAACUGCGAAUGGCUCAUUAUAUCAGUUAUAGUCUACUCGAUAGUACCUUACUACUUGGAUAACCGUAGUAAUUCUAGAGCUAAUACAUGCGCAAAUACCCAACUGCUUGUCGGACGGGUAGCAUUUAUUAGAUACAGAACCAACCCAGACUCUGUCUGGUUGCUUGGUGAUUCAUGAUAACUGAAUGAAUCGCAUGCUUCGGCGGCGAUAAAUCAUUCAAGUUUCUGACCUAUCAGCUUCCGACGGUAGGGUAUUGGCCUACCGUGGCAAUGACGGGUAACGGAGAAUUAGGGUUCGAUUCCGGAGAGGGAGCCUGAGAAACGGCUACCACAUCUAAGGAAGGCAGCAGG